AACAAGGGAAUCCCGAUGGUGAAAGUCCUGUGGAACCACCACAAUAUGGAAGAAUGCACCUGGGAGACACGGGAGUCCAUGCUCCAGCAGUACCCUUAUCUUUUCUAAGGUUAGUUUUUUGUGAGUUUAUGUGUUUUUGUAAGUAUGUUAUGUUGUUUGCUAUGCAUGUGCUAGUUGAGGAACAUUCGGGGACGAAUGUUCUUAAGGGGGGGAGAAUGUAAUACCCGGCUAGACUCCGGCAUCGGAAUUCCUACCGUCCGGUGGAAUUUCGGAUGUCGGGAACCUCUAGAAGGGUAAA
rnacentral:lncRNA from 1 species